rnacentral:rRNA from 1 species
UACGUAGGGUGCGAGCGUUGUCCGGAAUUAUUGGGCGUAAAGAGCUCGUAGGCGGUUUGUCGCGUCGGCCGUGAAAACUUGGGGCUUAACCCCAAGCCUGCGGUCGAUACGGGCAGACUUGAGUUCGGCAGGGGAGACUGGAAUUCCUGGUGUAGCGGUGAAAUGCGCAGAUAUCAGGAGGAACACCAGGUGGCGAAGGCGGGCCGCUGGGCAAGCAAGCGCGCUA